AUCGCGGUGGCCCCGAGGACACGCUCCCUCCGACGUGCGCCCCGGGGUCGUGCUGGGACCCACCGGCGGUCGUGGGCACCGGCGCCCGGGCGCGCGCGCGCGCGCGGUGACCUCGCGGGCUGGCCCGCUGCGCGCGUCUGCCGAGAGUGGACCCUGAGCGCGCGCCUUCCCCCAUCCCGGAGGACCGCUCGGUAGUGACCGGAGGGAACGGUCAGGGCCCCCGGGGUCCUUCUGCUCCAACAGGAGACCAAAGACGCCUCAAGACCCUCCAGUUUGGCAGACAGCGGACGCUGAUGGUAACUGGAUUGUGUCAACACCUCCAUACCAGGUCCUAGCAACCCGUUUGCCUUAAAGAAGAUUGGGAGCAGACUCUGUGUGUAUUUGUAAGGGCAGUUGUAAUUCUGGGUGUUUGAUUAUGAACUGGGUACAGUAAGAAAGUGGAUUUCGAUGGGAUUUCUUGUGUGCUGUCCUGCAAGUUGCCAUUAUGAAAGGAGAUGAGGGGUGCGGUUCCUUUAAAAUCUGCACCGUGGCAUCCCUUUGGUAGAGAAAGAUGGCCCCCAGCUCCCCAAGGCCGUGCACUGGGGUGAAGGAGGACAGCUGGGAUUGGGCAAGUGUCUGCCCUCAGCUGUGGUCUGAUCCGCACGGCCACCCUGCUUUUUAGGAAUGAUCCAUCCCGUCUGUGAGGUCAUAAAGGCUAGGAGCUGGGGGAGUGGGUGUUGGAACCAGAUCUGACAGCAAAGUCCGUGACCUUGCAAACGAGCUGCUCUGGGAGUGUUUCGGGUGUGUAGGGUGGAGUUUGUUAAGGGUCAGCCCUUAAUCUGCUUUUUCUCCUAAUGGGGAGGGGUUAAGCCAGAGCACGGAGCUUCGGUUAGAAGGUUUGGGAAGGGAGACAAGUGUGUGCAGGGGGGAUGAGCUGAAAGGGAGCAGGAAGCAGAGGAGUGAUGCUCCGCAGCCUGUGCUGGACGAGUGAGUGAAUCAGUUGAUGAGCAGCUUAGUCUAUAAAGAGUGAGGUAUGUGGGCCUAUGGGUCAGGUCCAUCUCUUGGCUGUCUCGCCUUUUUUUCCCUCCCUGCCGUCAGCAUAUGACGUACGUGCCGGUCAUGCCCAGGCUUUGGGACUGCACAGAUGAAUACCACAUGGUCCCUGCCCUCGAGGAACUGGCUCCCUCUUUGGGGAAAUAGACGUGAACCAUCAACCCAAGUGGCAAAUGCUCUGAGACUCAUGUGUGCUCAGGACUGUGAGGCACGAGGGCAAGCGUCUCUGCCUCUCCCAGGGACCCAGACACAGGGUGGGCCCCAGGCGCGCAGCGGCCGCAUCAGCCCCUGUCCUCUCAGCACAAGGAAGAUGGACUCUGGAAGCAGUCAGUAUCCUCCUUCCCGUGCAGGGGCCACACAUCAAGGGGAUCUAGCUUCGUCUCUGACGGGAGCUGUGCUCAUUCCGGGACAGGCGAGAGGGAGCCGACAGCCGUCGUUCUGGAUUUCUAGACGGAGACACGAGACUGUGGGAGAAACUUACUGAAGGGCGUUGGUCUGGGUGGCCCUUUGCAAACAGCGGCUUACGCUGUGUGUCUACAAGCGGAAUGGUGGUGUUUCUUACCACCUCAUUUCAAAACAGCUGAGCACCUCUGUCUGACUGAGACCUGAAGAUUCAUGUGCACGUGACAAAUGGAUGGUUAGAAAUGCUGACUGCAUCUAUCUGACCCUGAAGCUAUUUUUAAAAGACCAGAGAUGUGACUGUU